rnacentral:rRNA from 1 species
AGGGUGCAGGGCGGAUGCCUUGGCACUAGGAGCCGAUGAAGGACGUGAUAAGCUGCGAUAAGCUUCGGGGAGUUGCACGUAAACUUUGAUCCGAAGAUUUCCGAAUGAGGAAACUCACUUAGAGUAAUGUCUAAGUAUCAUUAAGUGAAUACAUAGCUUAAUGAGGGGAACUCAGGGAACUGAAACAUCUAAGUACCUGAAGGAAGAGAAAGAAAUUCGAUUCCGUAAGUAGCGGCGAGCGAACGCGGAUUAGCCCAAACCAAUAAAGUUUUCUUUAUUGGGGUUGCGGACAUAUCAUAACGAAGAGGUAUCGUAAUUGAAGAGGUUUGGAAAGACCCACCACAGAAGGUAAUAGUCCUGUAUGUUAAACGAGAAGACUUUAGAUAUGAUCCAGAGUACCACGGGACACGUGAAACCCUGUGGGAAGCAGGAGGGACCACCCUCCAAGGCUAAAUACUACCUAGUGACCGAUAGCGUAUAGUACCGUGAGGGAAAGGUGAAAAGAACCCCGGGAGGGGAGUGAAAUAGAACCUGAAACCCUGCACUUACAAGCUGUGGAAGCACAUUUCUUGUGUGACCGCGUACUUUUUGUAGAACGGGCCAACGAGUUACGUUAAGUAGCAAGGUUAAGCACUUAAGGUGCGGAGCCGUAGCGAAAGCGAGUUUUAACUGAGCGUUCAGUUACUUGACGUAGACCCGAAACCGGGCGACCUACCCAUGAGCAGGAUGAAGCGAAAGUAAAAUUUCGUGGAGGUCCGAACCCACGAGCGUUGAAAAGCUCGGGGAUGACUUGUGGGUAGCGGUGAAAUUCCAAUCGAGCCCGGAGAUAGCUGGUUCUCCCCGAAAUAGCUUUAGGGCUAGCCUCAAGGUGAGAGAUACGGAGGUAGAGCACUGAAUGUCCUAGGGGGUAUUGCACCUACCGAAGACUAUCAAACUCCGAAUGCCGUCAUCUUAUACUUGGGAGUCAGACUGUGGGUGAUAAGAUUCAUAGUCGAAAGGGCAACAGCCCAGAUCGUCAGCUAAGGUCCCUAAAUGUAAGUUAAGUGGUAAAGGAUGUGGGAUUGCACAGACAACCAGGAUGUUGGCUUAGAAGCAGCCACUCAUUCAAAGAGUGCGUAAUAGCUCACUGGUCGAGUGAUCCUGCGCCGAAGAUUUCCGGGGCUAAAACUUACUACCGAAGCUACGGCAUCAGUAAUGAUGGGUAGGGGAGCUUCCCAUACGGGUUGAAGCAUGACCGUAAGGACAUGUGGACAGUAUGGGAGUGAGAAUGUUGGCAUGAGUAGCGAGAUGUGGGUGAGAAUCCCACAGGCCGUAAACCCAAGGUUUCCAGGGGAAGGUUCGUCCGCCCUGGGUUAGUCGGGACCUAAGCUGAGGCCGAAAGGCGUAGGUGAUGGACAACAGGUUGAUAUUCCUGUACUACCGAUAACCGUUUGAGAGAAGGGAUGACACAGUAGGAUAAGCUAAGCACACUGUUGGUUAUGUGUGCCCAAGCAUUGAGGCAGUCAAAGUAGGCAAAUCCGCUUUGAUAAUGCUGGGAUGUGAUGGGGAGCGAAAUUUAGUAGCGAAGUAGCUGAUUUCACACUGUCAAGAAAAGUCUCUAUCGAGGUUAAAGGUACCCGUACCGCAAACCGACACAGGUGGGUGAGGAGAGUAUCCUAAGGCCAGCGAGAGAACUGUUGUUAAGGAACUCGGCAAAAUGACCCCGUAACUUAGGGAUAAGGGGUGCCACCAUCAGGUGGCCGCAGAGAAUAGGCCCAAGCGACUGUUUACCAAAAACAUAGGUUUCUGCUAAGUCGCAAGACGAUGUAUAGGAGCUGACGCCUGCCCGGUGCUGGAAGGUUAAGGGGAUCUGUUAGAGCAAUCGAAGCAGUGAACUUAAGCCCCAGUAAACGGCGGCCGUAACUAUAACGGUCCUAAGGUAGCGAAAUUCCUUGUCGGGUAAGUUCCGACCCGCACGAAAGGCGUAACGAUUUGGGCACUGUCUCAACAACAGACUCGGUGAAAUUGUAAUUCCGGUGAAGAUGCCGGAUACCUGCGACAGGACGGAAAGACCCCAUGGAGCUUUACUGUAGCUUGACAUUGGGUCUUGGUACUACAUGUACAGGAUAGGUGGGAGGCUUUGAAACCAGGACGCCAGUUUUGGCGGAGCCAUCCUUGGGAUACCACCCUUGUAGUACUGGGACUCUAACCAUAGGCCAUGAAUCUGGUCUUGGGACACUGUCAGGUGGGCAGUUUGACUGGGGCGGUCGCCUCCCAAAAGGUAACGGAGGCGCUCAAAGGUUCUCUCAGUACGGUCGGAAAU